GGUUCUAUAGUGUAGUGGUCAUCACAUCUGCUUUACCCCAGAAAGUCAUGGGUUCAAUCCCCCGUGGAACCA